GUUGAACGCUAGCGGCAGGCCUAACACAUGCAAGUCGAACGGUAACAGGAAGAAGCUUUCUUCUUUGCUGACGAGUGGCGGACGGGUGAGUAAUGUCUGCGAAACUGCCUGAUGGAGGGGGCUAACGACUGGAAACGGUAGCUAAUACCGCAUAAUGUCGCAAGACCAAAGCGGGGGACCUUCGGGCCUCUUGCCAUCGGAUGUGCCCAGAUGGGAUUAGCUAGUAGGUGGGGUAACGGCUCACCUAGGCGACGAUCCCUAGCUGGUCUGAGAGGAUGACCAGCCCCACUGGAACUGAGACACGGUCCAGACUCCUACGGGAGGCAGCAGUGGGGAAUAUUGCACAAUGGGCGCAAGCCUGAUGCAGCUAUGCCGCGUGUAUGAAGAAGGCCUUCGGGUUGUAAAGUACUUUCAGCGGGGAGGAAGGGAGUAAAGUUAAUACCUUUGCUCAUUGACGUUACCCGCAGAAGAAGCACCGGCUAACUCCGUG
rnacentral:rRNA from 1 species